rnacentral:tRNA from 1 species
GCCGCUGUGGCUUAGUGGUAUAGCGGCUGAUUCGUAAUCAGCAGACCGGGGGUUCAAGUCCCCCCAGCGGCU